AGAAACAGAUCAGCGCCGUCAAUCUAUCGUCAAACGGCUGCGCAUCUCAGAUUAUAGAUCACAGCCGUCGAGCGGGGAAAAUAGAGCAUAGCAAAUGAGAGGAUGGCAACGCCGACGAUAUCUCCGUCUCUUCUCCUGCUUCCUCUAAGCUCUGGUUCGGUCUAACUCCCCCACUGACCUCUUCUGCUCGCCCUCGACGAGAUGGGUGGACGUGGAAGAGAAGGUUUGGAGGAGAUCUGCUCAAAAGAUAUCGACUUUGGCAGGUUUCAGUUGCCGCGGAGGACGCUAUUCCCCCGGAGAUUAUUCCCACCGCCGCCGAAGAAAGCGCUGCGUCCACCGUCGUCUCUGCUCUUCUCUUCGUCGCCUUUAUUGGGCUCUUCAUGCUCACCGUAGGGGUGAUCUACUUGGCAGUGCAAGAUUUUCUUCAGAAAAGAGAAAGAGAUAAAUUUGAGAAAGAGGAGGCGGAAAAGACGAAGAAGGGAGGAAAAAACGCAAAGGCCAAGGCGAGGACUGGGCCCAGAGGGUUUGGCCAGAAAAUUGAAGAAGAUGAAGAAUAAACAUGAUAUAUGUGAUUUAGUUUGUAUUUGUGGGAAGUUACAACCGGAAAUCAAGAAAUUAUGAUGAAUGGUGAGUGCCCAAAGCUGCUGAAUAUUUCUCCAACAAGCCACUCAGCAUCUGAGAGAACUGACAACAUAUUUAUCUUCUCCACCAGGUAUCUGUAGAUCAUCCUUUGCAUGAGAUGCCAUGGCACCAUGGGAUUUGCCUCUUCUUAUCAUUCCAGCAAAAUUCUUUACACUGUUCCUUGUCCUCUAGUUUUGUUGAUCUUUCUCUCUUCCUGCAGGCAUCUUCUAGUCACAUUGUGAUUAAUGAUUUUGUAGUUGUUUUGCCAUCAUUAUCUGUAUCCAUAUACAGCUUCAGUUUUAUCCAUAAUUUCCUUCGAAAUUCUAAAGAUCUGUAGUGCUUGGCAAUGAAAUUUCUUCUAGAUUCUAAUCCCCAUUGUAUGUGAUGUGAAAGGAUAUGUAUCUGUUUAUUUAAGUGAAUGCUUUCUAAAUU